AUGGCGUGGGAACGGAGGCAUUCUGGGCCAGACAGGGAUGCACCUCCCUGCCCACAGGAGCCCCAGCCUGGGGGCCGGCCCGGCAUCCUCCAGGGUUGGAGCACAUGCAGGCACGUGUACACAUGCACACACAGCUACGCAUCAACAGGGGGUCCUGGGGAAGCAGGGACUCGGGCUGGGCAGGCCAGCGUGCACACACACCGGGUCCUCAGGCCCUGCCUGGGGGAAGGCGUCCUUCUCCUCCGAGGCCUGGAAAGCGGGGCGUGGGCCGAGUUCAGGUGCUUCUCCUGGGUCUGUACACACAUGCACAGCCAUCCUCCCUCGGCCCUCAGCUCCUCCCCACCUCUCUGGAGGCUUUCUUCAGCCUCUUCUACUCCCUUUGGAAAGUCCUCCCCAGCUCCCAGCUCAGAUUGCAAGGCUGUCCUCUGCUGCUGCUGCUGCUGCUGCUGCUGCCGGAGCCACAGGCCGGUCCCUGCUGGUGUGAUGAGAAAGCAGAGGGGGAUGGGGAGGGGCUGCCACUCUCAGGAGCUGAGCGCCAGGCCCGCGGCCUCCCUUGAGAACAGCGACAUGGCAUGUGGUUCGGGGGCCACUAUGCCCAGCCCUGCAGAGAGGCCCAGCGCUGUCCUGGGGCCCCAGAUGCCAGUCCUCAAGUGCACGGGCACGUGCCUACCUUCACACGUGCGGGUCUUCCUCCGGAGCCUUCCCUGACCUCUGCUGCUCCUGCUAUUCCCCAGACCCAGCUGAUGCUGGCAGCAUAUGGAGGCUGCAGGCCCUAUGGUGGACCCUGGAGAUGGAACUGGGAGCACAACAGCUCAUGGUAUCCUGGGGACCAGCAGACUGUAAGCAAACAGAUGUAGCUCAGGUCAGGAUCGACAGGGUAAAAUAAAGGAUGGGGACGGAGACUGAGCUGACCAGGGAACACAGUCAGCCUGUGUUCUGGACACACAAGGAGAAAAUGAGGGAGGCAACAUGUGGGCAGGGUGCAAAGGCACUGGGGUCGGCCAAGGCUCCCUGAACACUUGCUCGCCCAUCACAGAACAUUCACACGGCAUGUCCCAUGAGCCAGGGCUGUGUGGGCAAUGGAUGGGAUCUCAGAGGAAGGUUGCCUUAGGCAGAGCCUGUUUGGGGUGGAUGGGUGAGGCCUGGGCUGGCCACAGGGGGAUGUCCUUCCUGGACGAGCUGGAUCCUGAGGAGAGAGGGAAGAAGGCUCCCUAUCAGGGGACCAGUUGGCAGGAAGGUGGCCACUAGGAGGGACCCGUGGUCAGGCUGCAGGAGAAGCUGGUAGCUGGUCCUGUGGGUUCCAGAGGCCUGGGCUGCUGUGAGCUCACCCCUACAACUCACCUGGACCAAUGGGCUAUGGGCCCAAGCUGGGACAGGAGUCUGUGGGACUUGUAUCCCCGGAGGUUGUGGGGGGAGGGCCGGCCCAAACUGUCCCCUCUCCCAGGCCCCUGCUUCUCCCCGAGCCACCCAGGUUUGGGAGAUGAACCUUUUCAGAUCCCCCUGCCCCCAAGUUAGUGUCCUGGGGCUGCUGUAACAAAUUACUGCAAACUUGCCUUAAAACUGAUAUUUAUUGUCUUCCAGUUCUGGAGGCCGGAAGUCUCAGAUCAAGGUGUGGGCAGGGGUGCUCCCCCUGGAGGCCCCCCUCCCAGGCUCUGGUGGCUGCUGGCCACUGCUGGUGUUCCCUGGCUCGCGCCUGCACCGCCUGCCCCUGCCUUCUGCUCACGCAGCCACAUUCCCUCAUGUCUCUGUGUCUACCCCUCUUCUUAGAAGGACACCUGCCAUUGCUUUUAGGACCCACCCUCAACCCAGCAUGACCCCAUUUCGAGAUCCUUCACUUAAUUACGUCUGCAAAGAUCCCUUUUCCAAAGAUGAUCCAUUCACAGGUUCUAGGGGGUAGGACUGGAGCCUAUCUUUUUUGGGGGCCACCAUUCAACCCAGGACCCCUUAAAUGCCAAGAGCCUGGGAGGCUGCACCUUUCUUCACUGCCAAGCCCAAGCCUCUGCCGUUCACCAGAGAGCCUCAGACCACGGGGACCCCCUGACACAG
rnacentral:lncRNA from 1 species